rnacentral:lncRNA from 12 species
UGGGGUCUCAUCUAGUUGCUGCCUUUUGCCCUGAGGAGUCUGAACCAAGAUUCUGGAAGUGUGUCCUCCUCCUGGCCCUCUGAGCUAAGCCUUGAGUCACGUCUGCAAGUCAUCAUUUGUCAUUUCCCAACAACCUGUCCCAGUGCUGUAG